rnacentral:tRNA from 1 species
GGGGAUAUAGCUCAUCAGUAGAGCUCUUGCCUGAUAUGCAUGAGCCCCUGGGUUCAAUUCCCAGCACUA